UACGAAGGGUGCAAACGUUAUUCGGAAUAACUGGGCGUAAAGGGCGCGUAGACGGUUUUUUAAGUCUGUUGUUAAAUUUUCUGGCCCAACCAGAAGUAAGCGGCGGAUACUGAUAAACUUGAGGAUGGAAGAGAGAAGUGGAAUUCUCGGAGUAGCGGUAAAAUGCGUAGAUAUCGAGAGGAACACCGAUGGCGAAGGCAGCUUCUUGGUCCAUUUCUGACGCUGAGGCACGAAAGCGUGGGGAGCAAACAGG
rnacentral:rRNA from 1 species